GACGAACGCUGGCGGCGUGCUUAACACAUGCAAGUCGAACGGAAAGGCCCUGCUUUUGUGGGGUGCUCGAGUGGCGAACGGGUGAGUAACACGUGAGUAACCUGCCCUUGACUUUGGGAUAACUUCAGGAAACUGGGGCUAAUACCGGAUAGGAGCUCCUGCUGCAUGGUGGGCGUUGGAAAGUUUCGGCGGUUGGGGAUGGACUCGCGGCUUAUCAGCUUGUUGGUGGGGUAGUGGCUUACCAAGGCUUUGACGGGUAGCCGGCCUGGGAGGGUGACCGGCCACAUUGGGACUGAGGUACGGCCCAGACUCCUACGGGAGGCAGCAGUGGGGAAUAUUGCACAAUGGGCGGAAGCCUGAUGCAGCAACGCCGCGUGCGGGAUGACGGCCUUCGGGUUGUAAACCGCUUUCGCCUGUGACGAAGCGUGAGUGACGGUAAUGGGUAAAGAAGCACCGGCUAACUACGUG
rnacentral:rRNA from 1 species